GGAAGCCAAUUCUAAUUGGUCGUGCAGCCCAUUUAGGAAUUCUUUUUUGGGGUAAAUGUGGAGGAAAGAAGAAAAGUGGAGUGGAGUGGAGUGGAGCAGGCGAGUAGGCGAUGGCCAUGGUAGUCUCAUCCUAAUUUUAAUGCCUCUCUAAUUGCCAUGAGACCCCAUUUCCCAAAUGUGAGACUGAAGACUCUACUCUCUCCCUUGAGCCCUGAGGCUUGAUUAGACUCUUCUUCUACGAUACUGAUCAGCAUUCAGAGACCGAGGGCCAUGUAGGAUUUUGGAACCCUCUCUCACUCUCUCUCUCUCCUUCUCCUCUGCAUCCUCACUUGCACAACUUCUCCACCGGAAAGGACGAAGAUCGCCGAUUAAAGAAGUGGGCUGCUUUGUUUAUUGUUGCAGAUGGAUGAUGAAGAUAUCGGAAGCUCAAAGACGACUGUAGUUGACAGCUUCCAUGACUACGAGGUAAUCCAAGCCGAAGUUUAUGAUUUGAACAAGAAAAGGAAGUUGGAAAAUGAACAGUUAUGCUUUGCCCAAUCAAAGUAUAAGUUUGGGUGCCGAAGCUCUGGUUGUGAACAUGAACUAGCAUUAGCAAAAGAAUUAGAGGAAGACGAGAUGAAGAAGGGAAAAGGAGUAGCAGAGCUUGAUGAGAAUGAGAAAACGCUUGAGCCUGAGUAUCCCUCACAGACAUUCACCUAUGCGCAGUCUUGCACAUCGUUGGGUAGCUGUAGCAGCAACAGUCUCAAGGACACCCUCCAUUACAGCGGAGGCAGUGAGGGCCAAGGGAUUGUCAAUGAAGUCGCAGAAUAUAAUCAUCCCAACAUUAAGGGUAGAUUGCAGUUUGGAAAAAGAGCUCUGCUCUCAGUAGACCAGCUCGAACAAUUUGAAGAAUAUGCUGAGGAAUUUGAAGACAUGAUAGUCUGCUCCAAUGUACCAUCAGAAACAGAUCAUUUUGUGCUAUCUUCUGGAAAAUGGAGCAUCAACCAAGGUUAGAUUUCCUUCUAGACAAAGAAGAAUAAAAGAAUGUCUGGAUGGAAUGAAACUAUCAAUUUGAUCUGUAAACCUCAUUACCUGGACAAAUAGAAAAAUUUGCUGGUCCAUUUCAUCAUGAUCAGAUGAUUUCCAUGGGAUUGCCGUUUUAUUAACACAACCCAUGUUGAAAAUUUUAGGAGUUGUAUAGUCCCACAUCAGUUUUGUUUGGGUCCUUAGUGCUUUCGUGCCUUAAGGUUUUGGGUUGAACCCUCUAAAAUGAAAAACCAAGUCCCUUUGUUAUCGGUGUUGAAUUAUAGAGUUAUAGUUUAUACAACAACCCAUACAAUGGGUUUGGCUGGAAAACUUGAAUAGCCCAGUUUAUUAGUUAGGCAGAGAUAUACAAUU